CAUACCUAUAACGUUGCCUCGGCGGGAACAGACGGCCCCGUAACACGGGCCGCCCCCGCCAGAGGACCCCCUAACUCUGUUUCUAUAAUGUUUCUUCUGAGUAAACAAGCAAAUAAAUUAAAACUUUCAACAACGGAUCUCUUGGCUCUGGCAUCGAUGAAGAACGCAGCGAAAUGCGAUAAGUAAUGUGAAUUGCAGAAUUCAGUGAAUCAUCGAAUCUUUGAACGCACAUUGCGCCCGCCAGUAUUCUGGCGGGCAUGCCUGUUCGAGCGUCAUUACAACCCUCAGGCCCCCGGGCCUGGCGUUGGGGAUCGGCGGAAGCCCCCUGCGGGCACAACGCCGUCCCCCAAAUACAGUGGCGGUCCCGCCGCAGCUUCCAUUGCGUAGUAGCUAACACCUCGCAACUGGAGAGCGGCGCGGCCACGCCGUAAAACACCCAACUUCUGAAUGUUGACCUCGAAUCAGGUAGGAAUACCCGCUGAACUUAAGCAUAUCAA
rnacentral:rRNA from 1 species